ensembl:lncRNA
CGGCGAGGUGUCGGCGCCUGGAGAAGGGGCGCAGAAGUGGGGCCAGUGAACCCGGAGGUGUCCACGUAAUCGUGACCUUUUCACUCUCUUCAAUGAUGGCUUCCUCAGAAGCGCUCCUCUCCCUCUACUUGGCCAGAGAGGACCUUUCAGGAACAGGGAAAGCGAUACACUCCGCUCCCGGCCUCCUCUCGCUGCUCCUCCUGCUCUGCUCUGUGGCUGCCUGCCAAGCCUCACUUCCGGUCUCCUCCCUGCCGCGUGGAUUCCCCCUGCCUCCCACCUACCCAUGUUGUGUUCUCAGCUCGUCACAGGAAUUAACUCACUCGGGCCUCGCAAGAGCUACAUGAGGGAAUGCAUUAUCACUCUCAUUCCAUAAAUGUGAGACAACCAACGUGAUAAGCCAAAAAGUGCCAGGAGUAGCAUUCACAAGUAACCUGGCAGAAUGUGGAAGUUGGUCCUUGAAGACUAUAAGAGUCUGCCUUGAACUGCAUGAGCUGAGCUUUUAAGAUCUGGAACAAGAGUCUGCACCUGAAGUAGCAAAUUUGAUGAACUGAUUGUGGGUGAUCAUCUUCCAACAGCAAGAGGUUAUGGAGGAGAUCGCAUCUGCAGAAGAGGAGGAGAAAAAGCCAUGAAGAUUUUCAAAGCAUGGAGAUUUGAGAGGUAGAGAAGUAAUUGCUCCUGUCAUCAGAAGAUCAAGCUGUAGCCCAUUAAGGAAUUAUUGCCAGCUCUAGAGAUGAUUUGAAGCUAUCUGACAUGCACAUUACAGAGAGCAGCAGAAUGGUGGCAGUGAAGAGGAAAGAAGGUGGCCAAUGGAAAACAUGGGACAAAAAUAGACAGUAGGAGUGGUGAUUCUGGGUAGAGAGAAGAAACAGAGCCAG